CGGAAGUAGCUCAAUGGUAGAGCAUCAGCUUCCCAAGCUGGGGGUUGCGGGUUCGAGUCCCGUUUUCCG
rnacentral:tRNA from 1 species